CGCGUAGGCGGUUUAGUCAGUCAGAUGUGAAAGCCCCGGGCUCAACCUGGGAACUGCAUUUGAUACUGCUAAGCUAGAGUAUGGUAGAGGUAAGUGGAAUUCCAGGUGUAGCGGUGAAAUGCGUAGAUAUCUGGAGGAACAUCAGUGGCGAAGGCGGCUUACUGGACCAAUACUGACGCUGAGGUGCGAAAGCGUGGGUAGCAAACA
rnacentral:rRNA from 1 species